CAUUAUUAAUUUUGGUACCAUUUUCAACUUUGGUACCAUUUUUAGCUUUGGUACCAAAGUUGAAAAUGGUACCAAAGUUGAAAA
rnacentral:pre_miRNA from 1 species